rnacentral:tRNA from 1 species
GGGAAUGUGGCUUAGUGGUAGAGUGCUUGACUAGCAUGCAUGAAGCCCCAGGUUCAAUUCCUCAGUACCA